rnacentral:rRNA from 2 species
GCGAGAAAACUUUGCAAUGUGCGAAAGCACGACAAGGUUAAUCCGAGUGGUUUCUGCUAAAGGAACCUUUUGCCAGUCCUAGAAACACUGGUGAAUAAGGGGUGGGCAAGUUCUGGUGUCAGUCGCCGCGGUAAAACCAGCACCUCAAGUGGUCAGGAGGAUUAUUGGGCCUAAAGCAUCCGUAGCCUGCUCUGUAAGUUUCCGGUUAAAUCCAUUAGCUCAACUGAUGGGCCGCCGGAAAAACUGCAAAGCUAGGGAGGUGGGAGAGGUAGACGGUACUCGGUAGGAAGGGGGUAAAAUACCUUUUGAUCUAUUGAUGACCACCUGUGGCGAAGGCGGUCUACCAGAACACGUUCGACGGUGA